rnacentral:lncRNA from 1 species
GGACUAUCUCCUGAGUUAAACAAUUUAAAUCAGAUUAAGAGUUUACAGCGACCUACUGAUGUCCCAGACAGUGGUUUGCUAUGUGAUCUCCUGUGGUCUGAUCCUAGCAAAGACAUUCAAGGUUGGGGACCAAAUGAGCGGGGAGUUUCCUUUACCUUUGGUGCUGAUAGGGUGACCGAGUUUCUUCGGAAGCAUGAUCUAGAUUUAAUUUGCCGAGCUCACCAGGUCUUAUAUAUCUUUUAAUUUGAGAAUUUGCCAAAAUCACACAACCUAGAGUGUCUUCCACUGACUGGAUAUCAUUUAAUUUUCAGGUUGUCGAAGAUGGAUAUGAGUUCUUUGCCAACAGACAACUUGUGACAAUAUUUUCAGCACCUAAUUACUGUGGUGAGUUUGACAAUGCUGGGGCAAUGAUGAGCGUGGAUGAGUCUCUUAUGUGCUCUUUCCAGAUAUUGAAACCUGC